ACAGAAAAUGUAUGAGUCUGCCUGAAGUGGUGAAAUUCUCUUAGAGCAGAAAUGCAGCCCAUCUUCUGAAUGCAAACGUGACAAAUUGUCAUUCCUAUUGAGUACUCAUGCUUGAGCUACAGAAGGCAUUUGACACUGCUGGACUUUAAAGCUCUUUUUGAGGAGUAUCACAACCUGGCCUUGAGAGAUCUGCAGUUUUGGAGUGUUUCAGAUUUUUAA
rnacentral:lncRNA from 1 species